AACGCACAUUGCGCCCAUUAGUACUCUAGUGGGCAUGCCUGUUCGAGCGUCAUUUCAACCCUCAAGCACUGCUUGGUGUUGGGGCCCUACGCAGCGUAGGCCCUAAAAUUCAGUGGCGGACUCGCUAUGACUCCGAGCGCAGUAAUCUAUUCUCGCUCUGGGCGUCUGGCGCGGCCCUGCCGUUAAACCCCCCAUUUCUCGUGGUUGACCUCGGAUCAGGUAGGAAUACCCGCUGAACUUAA
rnacentral:misc_RNA from 1 species